GACGAACGCGUGGCGGCGUGCUUAACACAUGCAAGUCGAACGGAAAGACCCUUGCUUGCAGGGGUACUCGAGUGGCGAACGGGUGAGUAACACGUGGGUGAUCUGCCUUGUACUUCGGGAUAAGCCUGGGAAACUGGGUCUAAUACCGGAUAGGACCAUGCUUUAGUGUGGUGGUUGGAAAGUUUUUUCGGUGUAGGAUGAGCUCGCGGCCUAUCAGCUUGUUGGUGGGGUAAUGGCCUACCAAGGCGGCGACGGGUAGCCGGCCUGAGAGGGUGUACGGCCACAUUGGGACUGAGAUACGGCCCAG
rnacentral:rRNA from 1 species